rnacentral:rRNA from 1 species
UAUUGCACAAUGGGGGAAACCCUGAUGCAGCGACGCCGCGUGAGCGAAGAAGUAUUUCGGUAUGUAAAGCUCUAUCAGCAGGGAAGAAAAUGGCGGUACCUGACUAAGAAGCCCCGGCUAAAUACGUGCCAGCAGUCGCGGUAAUACGUAUGGGGCAAGCGUUAUCCGGAUUUACUGGGUGUAAAGGGAGCGCAGGCGGCUUGGCAAGUCUGAUGUGAAAGGCUGGGGCUCAACCCCAGGACUGCAUUGGAAACUGUUAGGCUGGAGUGUCGGAGAGGUAAGCGGAAUUCCUAGUGUAGCGGUGAAAUGCGUAGAUAUUAGGAGGAACACCAGUGGCGAAGGCGACUUACUGGACUGUAACUGACGUUGAGGCACGAAAGUGUGGGGAGCA